rnacentral:rRNA from 1 species
AUACGGAGGAUCCGAGCGUUAUCCGGAUUUAUUGGGUUUAAAGGGAGCGUAGGUGGACAGUUAAGUCAGUUGUGAAAGUUUGCGGCUCAACCGUAAAAUUGCAGUUGAUACUGGCUGUCUUGAGUACAGUAGAGGUGGGCGGAAUUCGUGGUGUAGCGGUGAAAUGCUUAGAUAUCACGAAGAACUCCGAUUGCGAAGGCAGCUCACUGGACUGCAACUGACACUGAUGCUCGAAAGUGUGGGUAUCAAACAGGAUUAGAUACCCAGGUAGUCCAAACAGUAAACGAUGAAUACUCGCUGUUUGCGAUAUACAGUAAGCGGCUAAGCGAAAGCAUUAAGUAUUCCACCUGGGGAGUACGCCGGCAACGGUGAAACUCAAAUGAAUUGAAGGGG